rnacentral:rRNA from 1 species
GACCAAGAAGUCUAACAUGUGUGCGAGUCAUUGGGUAUAUUGUUGAAACCUAAGGGCGUAAUUAAAAUAACUAUUUUAUGGGAUUACAAGUGAAUUAAAUUUCAUUUCUCCAUCCCGGGGCGUUCUAUACGAACAUGGUGCAAGCAAUUGAACCCUCUGUUCAAGAGCGUACCUUGAGCAUACAUGCUGUGACCCGAAAGAUGGUGAACUAUACCUGAUCAGAUCGAAGCCAGGAGAAAUUCUGGUGGAGGAUCGAAACAGUUCUGACGUGCAAAUCGAUUGUCAGAAUUGGGUAUAGGGGCGAAAGACCAAUCGAACCAUCUAGUAGCUGGUUCCCUCCGAAGUUUCCCUCAGGAUAGCUGGCGCAAAUAAUUAUAUUUUAUAUAAUCUUAUCUGGUAAAGCGAAUGAUUAGAGGCCUUGGGGCCGAAACGACCUCAACCUAUUCUCAAACUUUAAAUGGGUAAGAACCUCAUCUUUCUUGAUCUGAAGAUAUUGGGGUUUAGAUAUAUUGUGCCCAGUGGGCCACUUUUGGUAAGCAGAACUGGCGCUGUGGGAUGAACCAAACAUGAUGUUACGGCGCCUAAAUUAAUGACUCAUAUUGAUACCAUGAAAGGCGUUGGUUGCUUAAAACAGCAGGACGGUGGACAUGGAAGUCGUAAUCCGCUAAGGAGUGUGUAACAACUCACCUGCCGAAGCAACUAGCCCUUAAAAUGGAUGGCGCUCAAGUCAUAUGCCUAUACAUCAUCGCUAGGAUAGAAAUUGUUGACCGUUUGGUCAUCAUUAUGAAAUUCUAGUGAGUAGGAGGGUACAAUGGUGUGCGCAGAAGUGUUUGGCGUGAGCCUGCAUGAAGCCGCCAUUGGCACAGAUCUUGGUGGUAGUAGCAAAUAAUCGAAUGAGAUCUUGGAGGACUGAAGUGGAGAAGGGUUUCGUGUGAACAGUGGUUGAUCACGAGUUAGUCGGUCCUAAGCUUUAUGCGAAAGCUGUUUAAUUUAUGUUACAUACAAAAUUUUUUGUUGUACAUAAUUCAAUAAAAGCGAAAGGGAAUACGGUUCCAAUUCCGUAACCUGUUGAGUAUACGUUUGUUUAUUAAAAAUGGGUCUUAUUACACUCAUCCUGGCAACAGGAACGACCAUAGAGAAGCCUUCGAGAGAUACUGGAAGAGUUUUCUUUUCUGCUAAACAAACGUAUCACCAUGGAAGUCUUUUAUAGAGAGAUAUGGUGGAUGGCUUGGAAGAGCAUGACAUUUACUGUUGUGUCAGUAUUUUCUCCUUGGACCUUGAAAAUCUAUGGUGGGGCCACGCAAACUUCUCAACAGACCGUACCGAUAUCCGCAG